GAGUUUGAUCCUGGCUCAGAUUGAACGCUGGCGGCAGGCCUAACACAUGCAAGUCGAGCGGCAGCGACAACAUUGACCCUUCGGGGGAUUUGUUGGGCGGCGAGCGGCGGACGGGUGAGUAAUGCCUGGGAACAUGCCUUAGUGUGGGGGAUAACCAUUGGAAACGAUGGCUAAUACCGCAUAAUCUCUACGGAGCAAAGAGGGGGACCUUCGGGCCUCUCGCGCUAAGAUUGGCCCAGGUGGGAUUAGCUAGUAGGUGGGGUAACGGCUCACCUAGGCGACGAUCCCUAGCUGGUCUGAGAGGAUGAUCAGCCACACUGGAACUGAGACACGGUCCAGACUCCUACGGGAGGCAGCAGUGGGGAAUAUUGCACAAUGGGGGAAACCCUGAUGCAGCCAUGCCGCGUGUGUGAAGAAGGCCUUCGGGUUGUAAAGCACUUUCAGCAGUGAGGAAGGCGGUAUCGUUAAUAGCGGUAUUGUUUGACGUUAGCUGCAGAAGAAGCACCGGCUAACUCCGUGCCAGCAGCCGCGGUAAUAC
rnacentral:rRNA from 1 species